rnacentral:rRNA from 1 species
GACGAACGCUGGCGGCGUGCCUAAUACAUGCAAGUUGAGCGCUGAAGGUUGGUACUUGUACCAACUGGAUGAGCAGCGAACGGGUGAGUAACGCGUGGGGAAUCUGCCUUUGAGCGGGGGACAACAUCUGGAAACGAAUGCUAAUACCGCAUAAAAACUUUAAACACAAGUUUUAAGUUUGAAAGAUUCAAUUGCAUCACUCAAAGAUGAUCCCGCGUUGUAUUAGCUAGUUGGUGAGGUAAAGGCUCACCAAGGCGAUGAUACAUAGCCUACCUGAGAGGGUGAUCGGCCACAUUGGGACUGGGACACGGCCCAAACUCCUACGGGAGGCAGCAGUAGGGAAUCUUCGGAAAUGGACGACAGUCUGACCGCGCAACGCCGCGUGAGUGAAGAAGGUCUUCGGAUCGUAAAACUCUGUUGGUAGAGAAGAACGUUGGUGAGAGUGGAAAGCUCAUCCAGUGACGGUAACUACCCAGAAAGGGACGGCUAACUACGUG